GACAGAGGGUGCAACCGUUGUUCGGAAUUACUGGGCGUAAAGCGCGUGUAGGCUGCUCUGCAAGUCGGAUGUGAAAGCCCUGGGCUCAACCUAGGAAGUGCACUCGAAACUGCAGAGCUUGAGUCUCGGAGAGGAUCGCGGAAUUCUCGGUGUAGAGGUGAAAUUCGUAGAUAUCGAGAGGAACACCGGUGGCGAAGGCGGCGAUCUGGACGAUGACUGACGCUGAGGCUCGAAAGCGUGGGGAGCAAACAGG
rnacentral:rRNA from 1 species